rnacentral:rRNA from 1 species
AUAUCAAUAAGGCGAGGAACAGAAACCAACAGGGAUUCCCCCAGUAGUGGCGAAUGAAGCGGGAAAAGCUCAAGUUUGAAAUCUGAAGUCCACUUCAGAGUUGUAAGCUGAAGAGGUGUCGACCGACUUGGUCCGGGCCCAACUUCCUUGGAACAGGAGGUCAUGGAGGGUGAGAACCCCGUCUGUGGCUCGGGUGCCGUAGUCCUUGUGUCGUGCCCUCGAAGAGUCGGGUUGUUUGGGAAUGCAGCUCAAAAUGGGUGGUAAAUUUCAUCUAAGGCUAAAUAUUGGCAAGAGACCGAUAGCAAACAAGUAGAGUGAUCGAAAGAUGAAAAGUACUUUGAAAAGAGAGUGAAACAGUACGUGAAAUUGUUGAAAGGGAAGCGUUUGGCAUCAGCCCAUGGCACCCCUCGAUCAUCUGGGCUUCUGCCUGGUGCACUUGAGGGGUUGCUGGGCCAGCGUCGACUUUGCCUGCCGGAGAAAGGCCUUGGGAAUGUGUCUCCUUUUGGAGAGUUAUAUCCCUUGGCGUCAUGCGGCAUGGCGGGGUCGAGGUCCGCGGUAUUACCUAGGACGCUGGCGUAAUGGUUCCAAGCGA